rnacentral:rRNA from 1 species
ACGGGUGAGUAACACGUAGGAACUUGUCUUUUAGAGGGGGACAACCAAGGGAAACUUUGGCUAAUACCGCAUAUUCUCGAGAGAGGAAAGUUGCCCGCAAGGGUGAUACUAAAAGAGGGGCCUGCGUCCGAUUAGCUAGUUGGUGAGGUAAAAGCUCACCAAGGCGAUGAUCGGUAACUGGUCUGAGAGGACGACCAGUCACACUGGGACUGAGACACGGCCCAGACUCCUACGGGAGGCAGCAGUGGGGAAUCUUGGACAAUGGGGGCAACCCUGAUCCAGCGAUGCCGCGUGGGUGAAGAAGGCCUUCGGGUUGUAAAGCCCUUUAGGUUGGGAAAAAGUGUAUAGGAAGAUAAUGCCUAUACAUUGAUGGUACUAACAGAAUAAGCACCGGCAAACUCUGUGCCAGCAGCCGCGGUAAUACAGAGGGUGCGAGCGUUAAUCGGAGUUACUGGGCGUAAAGGGCGCGUAGGCGGUUAUAUGGGUGUGAUGUGAAAGCCCCGGGCUUAACCUGGGAAGUGCAUCGCAAACUGUAUGACUGGAGUAUAAGAGAGGGUGUCGGAAUUUCCGGUGUAGC